rnacentral:rRNA from 1 species
GCUACNGUAGCCGAAGAGCGGGAGAAUGGGUGAGUGAUGCUUGGGAACAUGCCUUGAGGUGGGGGACAACAGUUGGAAACGACUGCUAAUACCGCAUAAUGUCUACGGACCAAAGGGGGCUUCGGCUCUCGCCUUUAGAUUGGCCCAAGUGGGAUUAGCUAGUUGGUGAGGUAAUGGCUCACCAAGGCGACGAUCCCUAGCUGGUUUGAGAGGAUGAUCAGCCACACUGGGACUGAGACACGGCCCAGACUCCUACGGGAGGCAGCAGUGGGGAAUAUUGCACAAUGGGCGCAAGCCUGAUGCAGCCAUGCCGCGUGUGUGAAGAAGGCCUUCGGGUUGUAAAGCACUUUCAGUCAGGAGGAAAGGUUAGUAGUUAAUACCUGCUAGCUGUGACGUUACUGACAGAAGAAGCACCGGCUAACUCCGUGCCAGCAGCCGCGGUAAUACGGAGGGUGCGAGCGUUAAUCGGAAUUACUGGGCGUAAAGCGUACGCAGGCGGUUUGUUAAGCGAGAUGUGAAAGCCCCGGGCUCAACCUGGGAACUGCAUUUCGAACUGGCAAACUAGAGUGUGAUAGAGGGUGGUAGAAUUUCAGGUGUAGCGGUGAAAUGCGUAGAGAUCUGAAGGAAUACCGAUGGCGAAGGCAGCCACCUGGGUCAACACUGACGCUCAUGUACGAAAGCGUGGGGAGCAAACGGGAUUAGAUACCCCGGUAGUCCACGCCGUAAACGAUGUCUACUAGAAGCUCGGAACCUCGGUUCUGUUUUUCAAAGCUAACGCAUUAAGUAAACCGCCUGGGGAGUACGGCCGCAAGGUUAAAACUCAAAUGAAUUGACGGGGGCCCGCACAAGCGGUGGAGCAUGUGGUUUAAUUCGAUGCAACGCGAAGAACCUUACCUACACUUGACAUACAGAGACUUACCAAAGA